rnacentral:rRNA from 1 species
AUGCAAUCCCUACUGAAGGAGAUAACUAAGGAAAUGUCGCCUGUACAACUGCCGCAAGACCGUCCAGACCUUGUGGCAAGAGUAUACAGAGCUAAACAGCAAAGUAUGAUGGACCUACUAAUUAAGGGUAAACAUUUCGGAGAAGUUGCGGCUUAUGUACAUGUCACCGAGUUUCAGAAACGAGGUCUCCCUCAUGAGCAUAUACUUUUAAUCAUGAAAGCCAAAAGAAAGUUAAGGACCCCAGAUGACUAUGAUCGGGUGAUAUCUACAGAGAUACCCGACAAGAAGAAAUAUAAUGUUCUCCAUGAUCUGGUAGUCAAACACAUGUUGCACGGACUAUGUGGUGCAUUGAAAAAGAGUUGCCCUUGCAUGAUAGAUGGACAAUGUCGGUUUCAUUACCCAUGA